UCGGAACGCGGAAGUGGUGCAUCGUGCUGUUCAAAUGCCUUUAGUAGUAGAUCCCGUGACGAAUAUACAUGUUUAAUGACGGCCCAUAUUCGACGGAUCCGCUUCUUCUGCAAGUAACUGGUGAUGUACGUGCCGUAGCUGCGUUAGCGCAACAGAACGAGCCUCAGGACCACUGCUUUAGGUACGUUCAUGAUCGGAGUGCUCAACACUUAAUUCCGUGACAUUCACUACGACGCAGGAAACAAUCCAAGUGUUUGUGCGGCGUCUGUGCUCCCCAGGAACCGGAUGAGUACCUAUAUGCUGCAGUGCUGGUGAAGUGGCAGAGUUGUGUAAUGAUGGCGAAGUACAGUCUACGUCAUUUUCACUGCUUAUUGUGUGUUUACAAGCUGAGUUUGGAGAUUCCUUGGACCGAGAAAGAGACGACAGAUACCUGGGUGUGUCGUCCGCAUGAUUCGCCAACGUUUUUCCAUCCCGGUCCUAUCAGGACUAUCAUCUUUUGUGUGCCUCAUUUCCUGUUCACACCUACACCAUAAUAGACUUGCGUAGUUUCCAAUUGAGAAGUGUGAAACAGAAUCUGUGUUACCACAGUAAUCCCGAGAAGUGCAGGGGAAUAGGCAGGAGCAAUAAGUGACAGUUAUACUUUUAAUGGUAGUGUAAUACUCGUUAUCAUUGGCAGUAUUAUAGCAUGUGAGGGAUAUAACACGUCAAAUAAUUUCAGGUAACGUUUCAUAACUCACUAAUGGUACACUUACACCUCAUUAUCAUUGUAAGUGAUACAUCUGUCUGGGAAUGUCCACAAUUUGUCAUUCCCACGGAAGAUUGUUCUGCCUUGAUACAGCAAAUCAAAUUUUGAUUCCUGCCAUUGAUCCAAUUUUUUUAGCACCACUGUUUUGAAAACAGCUUUCAAGACUGUAACUUCAGAGAUCCUUGGCAGAGCAUUACCUCUUGUCUAUGUAUUAUAAUAAUUAUUAUUAUAAUGACAGGCAAUAAGUUACGCAAAUGUGAAUAAAUCUUUGUGUUGACUGA